CUGCUCACUCUGGCAGCACAUAUACUAAAACUGGAACAAUACGGAGGCUGGCAUGGCCCCUGUGCAAGGAUGACAGGAAAAUUCAUGAAACAUUCCAUAUAUUU
ensembl:snRNA U6 U6 spliceosomal RNA